rnacentral:lncRNA from 1 species
GGCAGCUUUGUCGAUUCAGGGAACAAGGUAUACGUGGGGAACCUUGCAUGGGGCGUUGACAACUCGACUCUGGAGAACCUAUUCAGUGAGCAAGGACAGGUGCUGGAUGCUAAGGUCAUCUACGACAGGGAUAGCGGCAGGUCAAGGGGGUUUGGUUUCGUCACCUAUGGCUCUGCCGAGGAGGUCAACAAUGCCAUAUCAAACCUUGAUGGCAUCGUAAGUUUGUUCUGUGCCAUUUUGAUCCUUUCGCGUGUCUUGUACAAUGUUGUACGUAGAGGAUGUGCUAAUCUGAAUGUUUU